UAGUUCAUACCUGUUAUUAUUAUCUUUUGUUUAUGAUGAUGAAAGUUGUAUAAAUAAUGUAUACAUGUAAAGAAGCUUAUGUUUUGGAUGAAAGAAAUGCUAUGUAUUUGGGAACAUGUGAUGUAUAAAGAAAAGAAUGAAAGAAUGUAAAUGUUUAUAUGCAUGUAUGUGAUUGAAAGUAAUCAUAGUGCUUGUAUGGAUGUAAUAGAUGUAGAACUUUCACUUUUGUUGUUGCUUGCUCUCGUGCAAGUCAUGUAUAUGCUUCUGUUUCCGCUGUGUAAUAACUAUAUAUAUAUGUUGACGUUGUGCCGAGCCUUGGGCGGACAAGGGAGGCUCUGUCCGUUCAGCGUCUGUUGGUGUGCCCGAACCGACCAAAUAGGCGGGCUCGGGGUGUGAUAGUAGGGGCAUGUUUGUUUCAACGUAAGUAGACUUGGGGUGGAAGUGGACUUUGGAUUGAAGUGGAGUUUAGGUGAAAAUUAAUUCACUUCCGCUGUUUGUUUCUAACUAUGGAAGUGCAGUUCUGUGAGUUCUGUUGUUUGUUUGGUGGAAAAUAGAUGACGUAAAAGUGUAGCUCUCCAUUCCUGGUAUACUUACCUCCGAAGUGAUAUUAUUGUCUAUUUUGUAACUUAGUGAAUAAUAAAUUAUAAUAAAUAAAAAUUAAUAUAAUUAUAUAUGUAUAUAAUUAUAUAUAUAUAUGUGUAAUUAUAAAAUAAAAUUUUAAAAAAUUAUAUUAUUUGUUUGCAUAUAAAUUAUAAUAAUGUAACAAAUAAAAUUCUAAAGUUAAAAAAUUAUUAACAUUUAACAAAUUCAUUUUUCAUCAUUUUUUAAGUAUACAUAUUAAACAAAAAAUAUAUUAAAACUUGCCCAACUAAAUUUGAUCACAUUACCUAACCAAAUUUAACAAGCUUCUUUGCCUCUUUGCACUUCACCGGAAUUGACUUCGCCCCGUGGGAGGGCGAAGUCAAUUACCCUAUUUUGGGCGAACUUGACUUUCGGCCGUAAUAAAAUUACGGCAAAACAAACAAUGGAAGUGAUAGUUUACGGCGUAAACAACUUCCCCCCUCUCCACUUCCCCAUCACUUUUACCCAAACAAACACAC
rnacentral:lncRNA from 1 species